GACGUAGGGCGCGAGCGUUGUCCGGAUUUAUUGGGCGUAAAGAGCUCGUAGGCGGCUUGUCGCGUCGACUGUGAAAACCCGUGGCUCAACCAUGUGGUCUGCAGUCGAUACGGGCAGGCUAGAAUUCGGUAGGGGAGACUGGAAAUUCCUGGUGUAGCGGUGAAAUGCGCAGAUAUCAGGAGGAACACCGGUGGCGAAGGCGGGUCUCUGGGCCGAUACUGACGCUGAGGAGCGAAAGCGUGGGGAGCGAACAGG
rnacentral:rRNA from 1 species